rnacentral:lncRNA from 1 species
GAUUUCGAUUUUGGCCAUUCGGUUUAUUGGUUUAUCGAUAAAUCGAUAAGAUAUAUUAAAAAGACAAAUAUACCCUUAUUUUAUAAUAAUAUGACUACCCUGUCCUUACAUAAUACAUACAGUCAGCCUGACUCUUCGGUCUUUGCCCUAACCUAACCCUUCGCAUAUUUAUAUAUACUGCUAUACAAUCAGUAACCCCUAAUCACACACACCCCUACCGAAGAGUAAAAACUAAAAAGCCUAACCCUAACACUGCCUUGGCUGCGCAGCUUCUUCUUCGAUCUUCUUCGAUCUUCUCGGUUCUUCGUCUUCCUCAGUUUCUCCCUUCAGGUGAUCAGGUCAGCUUUAUUUUUAUUUUUUCGCCAAUUUCUUUUUUCCCCAAUUUGUUUCGGUUCUAUUUAGACUUUCCUCAUAUUUCAGGUCAGCUUUAUCGUCAUUUUUCGCCAAUUUCUUUUUUUCCCCAAUUUGUUUCAGUUCUAUUUAGACUUUUAAAUUUUGACGACUGAAUAUAAUGGUUGAUGUCGUUCUUAAUCUGUCUAAUUCUCGCUCCAAUUUCAUGGCUGUUGUGAAGGUAUUUUAAUUGUCAUCCUCUCAUAUCUGCAAUUUUUCUUUUAUAGUACAAGAUUUAUUCUUCAAAUAGCAAAAUAGAUUUGUGCCCUUCUCUUUGUUAGCUACCCCUUGUAGCUGCUGAGUUUGCCAUUGCUUUUUCCUCUUUGUUCAUUGUAUUGUUUCGGUUAUAAUUUUUUAUAUAUAUCUAAGUGGCUAUUUGUUAUUAUUAUUUUACAUUGGUCAUUUAUGUUAAACAUGAUUAUUUUGUGGCAACU